rnacentral:tRNA from 1 species
GAGGGUAUAGCUCAGUGGCUGAGUGCAUGCCUAGCAUGCACGAGGUCCUGGUUCAAUCCCCAGUGCCUCCA